GUUUGGAGAAGGGCUGCUAAAUAGACAGCUAAGGUUUGACUGCAGUUUCCUAGCGAAGUGUCCAGUGGGGGGUGCCACAAGCAAGUGAAAUGGUGCUGUAAUCAAUAGAGGUUAAGAAUAUCUUCCACAGGGCCCUAACCAGAAGUGAUUUUGCUGUCCGACAGUCUGUUGAUCAUUUUCACGGGAGCAGGAAUAGAAGCAGAGAAACAACCACUCCUCAGGUGAAUGGCCAGUAUUCCAGUGCUGGGGACGCCUACUGUCAAAACUUUAGUGUGACUUCUCAUUUCUAUCUUAACUUCAGCUGAAACUCUAAAAUUGUUCUCUGACAUGCGUUUAUGUUGUAAUGACAACAGUAAUUGGGACAGCAUUUCUUUUUUUUCUUUAAGAAAAUCUGGAUUGUACAUAUGAAUACCAAAUUAAUUGAAAAUGUUAUUAAGUUCUUAGGUGGAUAGUGCAAUUGGAUAAUUUAUCUGAUUUUGAUAUUUAUUAUAAAUGUAUUGUUAAGAACAGUUCAAAAGUAUGGGUGAGGGAGAAAU